GACGAACGCUGGCGGCGGGCUUAACACAUGCCAGUCGAACGGAAAGGCCCUGCUUUUGUGGGGUGCUCGAGUGGCGAACGGGUGAGUAACACGUGAGUAACCUGCCCUUGACUUUGGGAUAACUUCAGGAAACUGGGGCUAAUACCGGAUAGGAGCUCCUGCUGCAUGGUGGGGGUUGGAAAGUUUCGGCGGUUGGGGAUGGACUCGCGGCUUAUCAGCUUGUUGGUGGGGUAGUGGCUUACCAAGGCUUUGACGGGUAGCCGGCCUGGGAGGGUGACCGGCCACAUUGGGACUGAGAUACGGCCCAGACUCCUACGGGAGGCAGCAGUGGGGAAUAUUGCACAAUGGGCGGAAGCCUGAUGCAGCGACGCCGCGUGCGGGAUGACGGCCUUCGGGUUGUAAACCGCUUUCGCCUGUUACGAAGCGUGAGUGACGGUAAUGGGUAAAGAAGCACCGGCUAACUACGUG
rnacentral:rRNA from 1 species